rnacentral:rRNA from 1 species
AACGAACGCUGGCGGCGUGGAUAAGACAUGCAAGUCGAACGGGAUUUUUUCCUGUAGCAAUACAGGAAAAAGUCUAGUGGCGAACGGGUGCGUAACACGUGAGCAACCUGCCGUGAAGUGGGGGAUAGCUCGCCGAAAGGCGAAUUAAUACCGCAUGUGGCCAAGGAAGACGUCUUCCUGACGCCAAAGCCGGGGCAACCUGGCGCUUCCCGAGGGGCUCGCGGCCUAUCAGCUUGUUGGUGAGGUAACGGCUCACCAAGGCUAUGACGGGUGGCUGGUCUGAGAGGACGACCAGCCACACUGGAACUGAGACACGGUCCAGACACCUACGGGUGGCAGCAGUCGAGAAUUUUUCACAAUGGGGGAAACCCUGAUGGAGCGACGCCGCGUGGAGGAUGAAGGUUUUCGGAUUGUAAACUCCUGUCAUUAGAGAACAAGGUACACGGUUUAACUGGCCGUGUGUUGAUAGUAUCUGAAGAGGAAGAGACGGCUAACUCUGUGCCAGCCGCCGCGGUAAAAC